UAAUACAAUGUACACUAUUUCUUGAUAUUAAAAUAUUUUUUAUUUUAUUUUAUUUACAACUAUAAUGAUCAAGGUUGAGAUUAUGGAUUUGAAAUGGCAAUAUUUGGUGAGUUUUAAGAUGAGGCUUUAUUUAUUUUGAUAGGGCAGCAGCCCUAUUAAAACAUUUUCCAAAUUAAAAUUCUUCAGAAUUACCUAAAAGAUUUUCAAUUAUUUUUAAUAUUUUUACCAUGAUAAAAAUUUUCAAAAAUUUAUUGCAAAGCUUAAAUUUCCUUAAAAUUUAAAGGUAAAAAUUAAUCUUUGGACUGCUGGUUGAACCACCAAACUCAUUCUAUUAAAUAAGUUGAUUCUUGCCCGAUUGUAGAUGGGAUUUGUCACGCCCCAAGAAUUUACUGAUAUUCU
rnacentral:lncRNA from 1 species